GAAAACUGAAACGAAGAACAAAAAAAGAAAAGCGUAGUAAAACAAAAUUUACCACGAGCACCAGUUGUGGUUGUCAUCGACCUUAUAUUCACAAACCCGAUCUUUCAAUUCUUGUUUGCAGCUAGCAGAGAAUCUGUUCACUGAUGUUGAUGCAGAACACAAGAGCCGUUCGUCAAAUUGAAUCAAAUGAUUCGGAGUGCGCAUGGAGAAGACAGAGCCGUUCAUCAAAUCUGUUCACCUGUCCUUCUAGUCUCGAUUCUUGAAGGGUCCCUCCGAACAAAAAGAAUUAGAAGAACAGGUGAAGACCAAUUCUUAAUAGUUCCUGAGGCGAAGCCCAAUUCUUUCCUUCCAGGUUGAGAUGGGUGUCCCUCCGUUUCAGGUUAUCUUCACUUGCGAAACCCUAGUUCCCAAUUCAAUACCGAAUCUGGAGAUCUUCUAAGCAUUCAAUCCACGGAGCUCAAAUUCCCCUGAGUUUGGUCAUUAAAAGUGACCCCUACUUUGCAACGCAGAUUCUAUUUAAUGCAUUUGGAACAAUGGCAAUGGCUAGACACGUGAGAAUAUUUCUACAUGAGUUCAAAGUGUCCUGCUAUUUGUUGCUGCACAGAGUAGUUACUUGAAGCCCUUUUUACAAAUUUUUUGUACCUAAGUUCAGUUUUUGCUUCGUAAAGCAUGUAGCUAUUGUGCUUCAUUGUACAUAACAAAUUUUCUAAAUUUGUAAUUUGCUUCUAAAUUUGUAAUUUGCCUAAGCAAAUCAGUGUGCUCCUUCAAUAGAUUUGAGAUGCAUGGAAGUCUGUAGAAUUGUAUGAUGUUGAAGAGAGCUUAGGCACAUGUGGAGGCAUUUCACCUUGACCAGGGUGUAGAAUACUUACUGUAAACAAAUCAAAGAUUGUGCCAUGUGUAAUUGCUUUCAGCAUUUAGUAUUUUUCAUACCAUAUUGGCAUAUUCCCUGAAAACCAACCAAUAGACCAUGAUACAAGUA